rnacentral:rRNA from 1 species
AACGAACGCUGGCGGCAGGCUUAACACAUGCAAGUCGAACGCAUCCUUCGGGGUGAGUGGCAGACGGGUGAGUAACGCGUGGGAACAUGCCCUUCAGUUCGGAAUAACCCAGGGAAACUUGGGCUAAUACCGGAUACGUGCGAGAGCAGAAAGAUUUAUCGCUGAAGGAGUGACCCGCGUCUGAUUAGCUAGUUGGUGAGGUAAAGGCUCACCAAGGCGACGAUCAGUAGCUGGUCUGAGAGGAUGAUCAGCCACACUGGGACUGAGACACGGCCCAGACUCCUACGGGAGGCAGCAGUGGGGAAUAUUGGACAAUGGGCGCAAGCCUGAUCCAGUCAUGCCGCGUGAGUGAUGAAGGCCUUAGGGUUGUAAAGCUCUUUCGGCGGGGACGAUAAUGACGGUACCCGCAGAAGAAGCCCCGGCUAACUUCGUGCCAGCAGCCGCGGUAA